ensembl:misc_RNA
GUGAUAGCCUUGCAUACUGAAGUCCUCUGUUUAUUUAUGGAUCAGGUACAGCAUGGUCAGUGGGAAUACAAGCUUCACAGUGCUGGCCUGCCAACAUGCCUCAACUGUGAUUCAGAAAACUCACUGCUAGAGGAGUGAGGGUAGCCCAUCCACCAUGUCCACACAAUCUGCUCUUAAG